UACAGAGGUCCCAAGCGUUGUUCGGAUUCACUGGGCGUAAAGGGUGCGUAGGUGGCAAGGUAAGUUCGGUGUGAAAUCUCUGGGCUCAACCCAGAAAUGGCAUUGAAUACUCUCUUGCUAGAGGAUCGGAGGGGAGACUGGAAUUCUCGGUGUAGCAGUGAAAUGCGUAGAUAUCGAGAGGAACACCAGUGGCGAAGGCGAGUCUCUGGACGAUCCCUGACACUGAGGCACGAAAGCUAGGGGAGCAAACAGG
rnacentral:rRNA from 1 species